AACCUAUGGUGUGGGGGCCAUCUCAAUAUAUCUUUGUAUCUCUCCCAUGCAUCGUAUAAGGUUUCUAAAUCAAUCUGGGUAAAGGAAGAGAUAUAAUUCCUCAACUU
rfam:Gossypium arboreum cultivar AKA8401 contig_24572_1, whole genome shotgun sequence.